rnacentral:lncRNA from 1 species
UUCACAUAACUGGCGGGCAGGUAGAUUUCCCCACCAACUUCACCAUGUUGUUCACCGCUAACUGUUUUCUUAGCAGCCAGGAAUUCAGCACUCAUAGCAUCCAUCCCAUGUUGCAUAGCUUCCUCGGGGUUCCCGUAACCAUGCUCCUCAGCGUACUUUCGAACAUCCUCUGUUAUCUUCAUUGAGCAAAACUUCGGUCCACACAUGGAGCAAAAGUGAGCCACUUUGGCACCUUCGGAUGGCAGGGUUUCGUCAUGGAAGGACAUGGCAGUCAUGGGGUCCAGUGACAAAGCAAACUGGUCCAUCCAUCGGAACUCAAAUCUAGCCUUGCUUAAUGUAUCAUCCCAUGCCUGAGCAUGUGGAUGACCCUUGGCUAAAUCAGCAGCAUGGGCAGCUAUCUUAUAAGCUAUUACACCAGCCUUUACAUCAUCUCUGUUUGGCAACCCAAGGUGCUCCUUUGGAGUUACAUAACACAGAAGUGCUGUGCCAAGAGCCCCAAUAUUGGCUGCACCAAUUGCAGAAGUAAUAUGAUCGUAUCCAGGAGCAAUAUCAGUUGUCAAAGGACCAAGGGUAUAGAAAGGUGCUUCAUUGCACCACUCAAGCUGCUUUUGCAUAUUUUCUGGAAUCUUGUGCAUUGGGAUGUGUCCAGGUCCUUCAUUCAUUACCUGAAAAGCGCCAAAAAAAAAUCAUGCUGAAGUUAUAAGAUAAUCAAAACCAUGUAAAGCCAGUAAUACGCUUCAAAUUGAGCAGUACUUUAGAAACAUUUUAUGAACAGAAUGCUAAAGGAGCACUUCCAAGGUGCAUUGAGAUACCUGUACGUCCUUUUCCCAAGCCCUACGAGUCAGUUCCCCUUGGGUUAAAAGCUCAGCAAACUGUGCAGUGUCAUUGGCAUCAUAUAUGGAUCCAGGUCUUAGUCCAUCCCCGAUUGAAAGCGCCACAUCAUAUUGGUUGCAGAUAUCAAGUAUGUCAUCCCAAUGCUCAUAAGCAAAAUUCUCCUUAUGGUACGCCAGGCACCAUUUUGCAUGAAUAGAUCCUCCUCGAGAAACUAUUCCUGUCAUGCGUUUUGCUGUUAAGGGAAUGUACCGCAGCAGUACCCCAGCAUGGAUUGUGAAGUAAUCUACACCCUGCUCAGCUUGCUCAAUCAGGGUGUCCCUGAAGACUUCCCAACUAAGAUCUUCAGCAAUCCCAUUGACUUUUUCAAGUGCUUGAUAGAUUGGCACGGUCCCAACAGGCACAGCAGAGUUACGUAGGAUCCAUUCACGGGUUUCAUGAAUGUGGCGCCCAGUUGAGAGAUCCAUAACAGUAUCAGCACCCCACAUUGUUGCCCAUUGGACCUUGUAAACUUCCUCCUCAAUUGAACUUGCAACGGCUGAGUUUCCAAUAUUUGCAUUUACUUUGACCAAAAAGUUUCGUCCAACUAUCAUUGGUUCCAGCUCUAAGUGCUUUUUGUUGGAAGGAAUGAUCGCCCUCCCACGGGCAACCUCUGACCUAACAAAUUCUGGGUCAAGCUUCUCACGAGUAGCACAGUAUAACAUUUCCUCAGUAAUGAUUCCCUGCUUAGCAUAGUACAUCUGAGUGUAUCUAGGUGCACCCAGUUUUUCCCGUCUGUCAACCCAGCCCUUGCGCAAUUUAGGGAGUCCUGUUUAAAGAUGUCAAGUACAAAACUUAGCAUUUAACUUAACCAUAAAACUAUAAAAAUAUCAAAAGAUCCAAUAUAUGAAAGGAACAUAAAAUAAUCAGAGUGGAGUAAAGACCCAAACAAACAAUCAAAGAUUUAUCAAGAACAUAUAAGAGGGGAGUUGGCUAAGCAAAACAAAGUGAAGAAAAGCUAAUGUCCUUCAAAAAGGAGCAAGAAGCUGAGAGUAAGGUUGAGCAUCCUACCAAUGCGUGGAUUGAUGUUUUGAGGACCACUGGUGUCAUAUGUGUCGAAGUUUGGCACAUCUCCAGUCAAAUGAACCCUUCGAAAGGGAACCUUGAGUACAUGGCCAGAUUCUUCAUGAAUAACUUCCCUGAAAGGUUCAUCACGCAUAAAAAAUAUUUUCAAGCAAAAGGGAAAGAAAACAGAACCAACAAAUUGCAUAUAUAUAACUAAAUUAACCUGCAUUCUUUUGAGCUCUUUGGGAAACAUUCUUCAAAUGAUGGAAGUGGCAUAAAGUCAGGGGAAGCAGGAUUUAUGGUAUGCUUCUUCUGUUUGCUUUUCUCUGAAUUGGUUGUUGGAGGAUCAAAAGUUAAUGUGGCUUUAGGACCUGAGCUCAUAGAAGGGCAUAUUUCCUUCUUACAAGCAUUUGAAACACGACCAACCACAUCAAAGCCAGGUAAGAAGGUCGUACAAGGAAACCUUGAAGGAGCAGAAUGGUUGCCAUUCUUGCAUACAACUGAUGUGAAGCUAGCAUGCACCGAUGUCAUAUCUGGAUUGUCCAAGCAUGUCAUGAGUUAUCAAUAAAUCAUAACCACACAAUCAUCAAAUGAUUAACUAUACAUACAACAUCGAGAACAAACAUAAUUGAUAAAUGCAGCACGUGAAGGUCGAAUUUGAUUAGAAAAAAAGCAAUCAUCGUUGCCUACUCUUGAGAAUAAAAAUAACAAAUUUGUACACAUUAUAUAUACAAAUAAAUUAACUAAUGGCAUAAAAGAUAAAUCUAGAAUGAAAAAGAAAAAAUGCCGCGUUAAUCAGCAUUACCAGCAAGGACAAAAGGUCUAUACUCUAUAGUAUUUCAAACUUCAUAAAGUUUUCAUCAGAUAAACAGAAGAAUUCUAGUCUAGUUUCUAAUAAAUAAUAAUCUAAGGGACACCACGAUGGACGUAAAUGUGAUUACAUAGUUCUAUGCAUUUCAGUGAAAACCCUCGAUCUACAAUAUAUAUGCAAUAUAUAUGUCUCCUGGUUCAGUGUGCUGUGUAUUCAUAUAAAAUGCUAAAGAAAACGCAUAAUCUUGGAUAUUUUGCACAAGUAAACAUUUCUUUUCGUAUAGAUCAAAAUUUGAAUUUCUUCAGAACUAAAAUAGAAAGGCAUUCAAAAUUAAUAAGCACAGAGCAUAUCCAUUAAGAUUUAAGAAGACUUCUCAUACAAAUCCAACCGCUGAUCUAUAACUUACCAUUAUCACUUAUAAAUAAUUAACUUACUAUAAUCGCAGAAAACGUUACCAAAAUUAAGAAGAAAAAACAACAGCUUCCUUAGUGGUUCAGUGUAUCUGAAUAACAGGGCAGUACAAAUAAAAAGAAAGAAAGAAAAACACGUAAAAUUACAAGCCUAUGUUUGAAUUAAACCAGCAUGCAGUGAUCUAGAAUAAAAAGAAAAUGUGCUGUUUAUUUAGAUUUAAUUUAAUUUUCUCACCAGCCAAACAAACAAAAGAAAUUUAAAAAAAAAAAAAAGAGUGAAGAAAGAGGAGGAACCUGGAAGAUCUUAUCCCUUUUAAGCGUCUCUAAAGUGGAGCGUGAGAGAGCUCUCUAAUAAGAACUGAGCACUCGUCGUUCACUGGCUUCUUCCAUUUAUAUAGGUAAAAGAGCGACAGAAACAUUUUUUUUCCCUCUCAAAAAUAAUGAAAAAGCGCAUGCUUACGUGGUGCAUUUAUUAGAUAUUUUCUAUAUACAUUUUUAGAGUUAAUUUCAUUAUAUGUCCUUAAACUAUAAUUUAUAUUUUAAAUUAGUCCUCAAACUUUAAAUCAUUCUAAUUUAAUUUUUUAAAGCAUCGACAUCGUAUCAAUUGCUUCCUUCCAUCAGCCCAGUUGUCAACAUAGACAUAAAUGUUAACUCAAAUUUGACGAGGAUCAUAUUUAAAACAAAUAUGUCAAAUUCUAAAUACAUCUGUGUUUAUCAUAUAAAUAGUUUAGAUAUAACGUGUUAAAAGGAAAAAAAUAUAAUUUUCUUAAAUUUUAAUAAUAAUAUUUUUUUAACGCAUCAAAUUUAUUGUUAAUGCAUUUGGUAUAGACAUGAUUAAACUUUGAUCCAUAUGUUUUAAAUAUUCUUCAUAUUGAAUUCGAGUUGACAUUUAACACCCAAAUUUGAUAUUAGACUGAUGAAAAAACAUAAUUGAUACAAUAUUUGAUACUUUGAGAAUUCAAAUAAAACACUUUAGCUACAUUUGGUAGGAGUAUUAUUUUUUCUGCAUGUUUUAGUAUACGAGUGAAUAAUAAAUUAAUUCAUUUGGCAAGAUUUAAUCAUUCCCGUACCUUAUUUUUAGUAAAGAAAAGGAAAAAUAAUUUAUUUAUUUUGAAGAGGUCUAUUUUUUACGAAAAAUUUUACUAAUUUUUUUAUUUUUAAAUUUAAAAUUGUACUAACUAUUUUUUUAUUUUAUGUCUAUAAUAUGAAUAUUAUAAAUAAGAUUUUCCUCAAAUUAAACCAAACAUUUAAAAUUGGAAUGUUUGUAAAAGACCUCAAUCCCUACUCGUACUAUUUUACGUUAAUCUUGAAUUAAUUAUUUUAUUGUUGAAAUCAAGGAUAGGGAAUUAAAGGAUGACAUUGGGCCACCUGCUUGGUAAACAGGUCAAGUGGACUUCUUUGUUUGUUUCCCGAGAAUGCGGACGAAAGAACGAAACUGUGAUCUGAAAGCAACAUUGAUAUUUUUGAGGGCCAAAAUAUCAAACCUCAACCUACUCACCACCCUUCAUUCUUCUCAACUCCUCAUGUUCUAGGGCCAGCUUCGCCUAUUGCUAAGAUAUGUUUGUGAAAAGUUCAAUUUAAAAAGGACGGUUUUAAUUUAAAGUUAAACUUUCAAAUGAAAAAUUAAAAUGUCUAAUGUUAAAAAUUAAAAAAUUAAAAUAAAUUAGAUAUCAUAAAAUAUAUUUUUAAAUAAUUAAUAAAUUAUUUGUAAAUUUAAUUAGACAUGAAAUAUUUUAAAAUUUUAAAUAUAAUAAUAAAUCAUAUUUAAUUAAUUUAAUAUGAUGAUACAUGAAAUAUAAAUUAAUCCAAAAUUUUAUAUACAUUUUAAAUAGUUAAUAAAAAACAAGAUAUUUUGAUAAUUUAUACUUUAAAAUGCAAAAGUCAAAAAUACCGUAACCCCACCCUUAAUUAGAUGAUGGCUUUUGCUUUCAGUUGGUAAAACUUCUAAUUUAGGCUCAGUUUUAAAAUGCGUUAAAAAGAUUCAAUUAACUGAAAAGUAAUAUUUUCAAUAUCUUAAAUUUUAACUCAGAAUGCAAAUAAUUAGACAGACUUAAAUUCAAUAAAUUCAAUUGUUUUAUUAUUUCAUUUAAGAUCAUAUUAUCUUUUAUUAAACAAUUUAAGUAUAUUAAAUAUUUAAUUUUAACAUAUUUUAUAAAACUUUUCAAUUAUCAAACAUAGACUUAUACCCCCUAAUGCUUUCCUAUGUAAAAAUCUAAAAUAAAUCAAUUAAGAACAUUUGGAUAAACAUAAAUAGAUUUUUAAUUUUGAUUCACACCGAUUUAACCUGAUUUAACACUAAAAGGCAACAAACCAAAACAAUCGUAACUCAAAAUGGUCCGAACAAUUAACCCAAAAGAACCAACAUGAACUAAAAUAACCCAAACUAGAAAGAAUCAAACCUGAAAUCACUUAAACUCUAAAUUAGACCAAACCAAAAUGAUUUGAUAAUUUAACAAUACCCAAAACCAACCUGACCUGCUGAAUUGACAGAUAUAAUAUAAGAUCAAUUAUUAAAUGUAUCAAAAUCCUAAAUACAAAACAUGAGUGUUGAGCAUAUCAUAUUAGUUUGUUAAUUAUACUGUUUUUAUAUUUUUAUUUGAUGUGUCAUGUUCUCGGACAAAGGAAAUUACACUUCUGGUUUCAUGUCAAAGCUCAAAAAUAAUGUUUAGUUCCAUUUUGGGAAACUAUUAUUAACAGCAUGUAUUUUCUACAGCAUACUAUAUGUACAAUGUUCUUCUGAAGACAAAACAUUUUUUAACCCAACAUUAUUAUGUGCAAUAAUCUUAUAUUAUAUUUCACAUAAUAAUUAUUGUACAACUCAAUUACUGUUAAAACUCCACCCGUUAUGACUGAUAAAAAUAAUAGCCAAUGUACAACAGAACAGACGGAGACCAACCUGAACUUAUCACCAUAAUAUCAAGAACGGGGAGACAAGCUUGAAGGAUUUUUCGGGAAAUAAAUAUUCAGCUUCACCACUUCCUUCUCUAUGUUUCCUCUGGUAAGUGUAGUGAGAAUAAAAUAAUGAAAAGACUUCGUAGUGUUAAUACUAAAGCCAGGACUCACCUUGCUGAAAUACGAAAAAAAAAAGCGCAAGGGAGCUUUGAUGCCGGUAGCCACAGCAUGGUCAUUGACAAGGUGCAAGGAAAGAUAUAGUCAGUUGGUUCAAUGCAAUGCUCAAUGUUGACAAGCAAUGAGCAAAACACUUAUCCAGAGCCCGCUUGAACCGGCAGAAGAGACUCUUGCUUGCCUUCAACGAAGAUGAUUAGUUCCUUUGGUGCAACAACCAAUUUCAACCAUUUUUGUAGCUCUUCUCCUUCUACUUUCUCAUUUUCUGAAUAAAGCGAAGCAUUAGACCAUAGUAUGAAGUAAAGAGUGAUCAUUUGUUCUCCUUUCCCCUUUUUAAAGAUGCAGAAUAUUGAUUUCACAACAAAAAUUAAACUGUUUGAAUAGUGUGGAUGUUAUCUACACUAGGAUAUAAACUACAUCAGUACUAAGAUAAUUUAAACAAAACAAUGCUGAAUAGCAUUAAAGAUCUGACAAGUAGUACUGAAGAGUUCAUCAGGGAAAAUUGUCAAAAUAGCAAUACAUAUUUCAUCAAACAGCAAACAAGUAGGGAAAGUCAGCUAUCGGAAUCAUCUACCUAUUAGAUCCCUUGUAAGUUUUCAUUAGAUUUUAUUUUCUGAAAAAUACGUCAAGUCUAUAACUUAUAGCAAAGAAUGAAAAAACAAAUUGGAUGAUCAGGAAUUUUGACAUACAAAACAGGUAGCAAAAACAGAUUACCUUCCAGGUGAGCACCAAGCCCUUCCAAAACAGUUGGAUUAGCACGUACAACAGAAAGGGCUACUUCAUGGGCAGACUGUAAUAAUGCCUUCACCUCUCCUUGGACAAGAUCAACUAGAUGUCCCUGCAAGUUCCGUUCUUGAUCAGUCUUCAUUACAGACACUGUAGGAAUUGGAAACAAAAAAGAUCAACUAAACUUUAAUGAAAAAGAGUAUAAAAAAGGGACCUGAUCUCGUCCCCAAGGAACUCCACCCCCGGAUUCAUCCAUGCCUCCACCAGAAACCGUAGCUAAGGAGAGAGGCCCUAUAGUCUGAUUAAGACCAUAUUCAGCUACUGCCUUGUAUGCCAUGUCUGUCGCCCGCCUAAUAUCAUCAAGUGCACCAGUAGAAACACGACCUGAAUAGAUAACUUCCUCUGCAGCGCGUCCACCAAGAAGAGUAACCAAACGGCCACGUAACUCAUCAAUGAAGAGUAAAUAUCUGUCCUCAUUGGUAGGAGGAAUAUAAGUAAAGCCCAAUGCUCCUCCAGAUCUUGGCAGUAUGCUCAGUUUCUGCAGACAAAAAGAGUUGACUAGUUACCAUAUUAUCCAUUUCAAGUGAACAAAGCCGCAGGGAUGAUUUAAGUCCAUUGUGACAACUAUUGAACUACCCAACCUUAAUAAGUUAAACAUUAUUGUUCUUAAUUCCAUGUAUAACCAAAGAUCAAGUGGACCUCCCGCUUGUACCAAACAAGAUUAAAAAUUUUGCAUAACAAGUAAAGAAAUCUAAUACUUCAAUUUCAGUCUAAUUUUCAAAAUGUUGCUUGAAAAUUUGAAAAUAGUAUACUACUGUUUCUGAGGUCAGCGUUGUACUCUAGGUCUUGACAGACCUUCCCAAGUACCAAAAGAGAAACAAACAAUUAGGAAGGUCAAUAGCUAAGAAGCCAAUUAUCUUCUUAACAAGGAAGAUAGAAAUUAUUGCCCUGGGACCGUCUCUGGUACAUGACGUGAACAGUACACACUCCUAAACCAAAUGCUACACAGCACAAGCUCAGAACUUAAGAUUCCAUUCAAAUUUCAUAUAUUUUCUUUUAUCAUUUUCAAAUUUCAAAUUGUGUUAAGAAGAACAAACAAAGAAAAAAAAAGUGAUUAAGUAAAUUAUUGCCAUUGUUUACCUCAACACGUGGCUGUCCAUGAAGAAGGUUUGCAACAGCUGUACCUACUACUGCAUGGCCAGCUUCAUGCCUUGCAACCACAGCCUUCUCACAUCCCUUCAAUUUGGCAGUUUUCUUCUCUAUGCCCUAUGAAAUAUCAUUCUUUUCGUCACUCAAUUUUAGUUUAGUAUUUUCUCAUAAUUCUUUAGUAAAAUUACACAUCUUGCGAGACAAAUGUCUAAGAGGAACUGUGUAAAUCGCAGUAGAUUGGAGAAUAUCCUUUCCCUAGGGAUAGUCUCAUUAGAAAGUGCAAAAAGCAAUAUAAAAGGAUUGCAUGAAAACUCCUUCUUUUUUUUUUGCCCUCAAAUAUCUGUGUUUUGUGAUAAAGUAAUUCAAAACAUGUAUGGUACAAAGUAAAACCAAUAAUCAAAGCCAAUAACUAGACUGAGAAGAUUGCAUAGCAUCAUUGGCUAUGGGAAUAAUAAUUAAAAUUAACUUUCAAGGCAAGGGAAAAUGUGAAGAAAAAUGUUUAAAAACAUUGGAGAAGGAAACAGCUGAAAACAAUGGAUGUAACAUAGUCACAACAGAAAACUGUAACAAAUAAACAAAACAAUGAUCAAAGAGAGAGAGAGAGUUACAGCUAUUGAUCGUUCUACUGCCUGAAUGAAAUCAAUCCUCUCUACAACAACUUUAUUAUUUCUUCCAGCGAGUAAGGCUGCUUCAUUUACCAGAUUUGCAAGAUCAGCCCUGCAAAAUGAAAAAAAAAAAUCAUUAAGUCAUCCCCACAUCAUCAACAAGUAGAAAUUUAUGAAGAGGAAAGGAAGCUGAAGAGGAGAUUGGGAAGCAGUGUACUUAAAUAUGACAAUGUAAAAGAGAAAAUACCCAGUAAAACCAGUAGUCAUAGAGGCAAUGUCACCAAGAUCAACAUCAUCUCCAAGGGGAAGUUCCUUCUUGGAGGCAUGCACUUUUAUAAUAGCUUCUCUUCCAAUCCUGUCAGGAGUCUCUACCUGGAAACCAUUCCAGACAUAAUAUCCAUGAGAUACGAGUUAAGCAAAAAGGAACUGGUUGAUACGGCAGAUUCCAACAUUCUGCAAGUUCAAUUGAAAUAUAGUGCAUGAUACAAACCAUAACAAUACGAUCAAAUCUCCCUGGUCGACGAAGGGCAGGAUCCAAGACAUCAGAACGGUUUGUAGCUCCAAGAACAAUCACAGCGGAAUUGCUGUCAAAUCCAUCCAUCUCCUGCAAUGUAGUUCAGAAAUGUUAGCUUCAAAGGGUAAUGGCGAAGAGGUCCACAUGAGCAGGAAAAACUAUGAUGCAGGGAAUGUUACAGUGAGUAAUUGAUUCAAAGUUUGCUCCCGUUCAUCAUUGCUAACAAUGCGAAAUUUACCAUCGCGACUUUUAGCCACGGCAUCUAUCUGUGUGCAAGGAAAGGUGUUAGAAAACUCUACUGUACAACAAAGAGGUUAAACAUAUUGUUCCAACAAAAUUAUAAUGCUCAUAGGCUGACCUCAUCAAUAAAAAUUAUUGAUGGUGCCUCCUUCUUAGCUCGUGCAAAGAGAUCUCUAACUCGUGAUGCACCCAUGCCAACAUACAACUCUACAAACUCACUUGCAGAACAACUUAUGAAUGGAACUUCUGCCUCACCAGCCACAGCUUUUGCUAGAAGAGUCUUGCCUGUCCCAGGAAGACCCACCUGCAUCACAAAUAAAAUCAUAAAUACUGACUAUAGCUUUUAGAAAAGAGGUAACCAUGCAAGGAAACCAUCAUAUAACACUAGCAUCUGAGAACUAAGUGGAAACAGUGAACAUGCUGAAAUCCAUCUGAAACUUUGUGAACUUAUCUUGACAAGAAUGACAAGUAGAAAGCUUUAGAGGACCAAAAGCUUUUGAUGAAAGACAUUCUAAGAGUAAGAGACAGAAGUAGCAAACUUAAUGCCAGAAUUUUCAGAUAUUAAUGAAGUUUUUCACAUAGGCCCUGACUUCUUAGACCAAAAGCUUCUUCAACAAUAUCAAAUAAAGUUUCAGCUAAUUUUUCCAGAAAGGCCAUCAUGCUUAAUGUCCCUAGUAUCAACUCACCAGGAGAACUCCUCGUGGAGGACGAGCACCAAGCCGUAUAUACCUGUCUGGAUUCCUAAGAAAUUCCUGGGCAGUAAACAUAAGAAUAUAAAGACAAUACUAGAACUUCAAGAGAGCAUUCACAGCAAAUAUCAAUUACUGGUAGCAUAUUAAGUGGAAUAAUAUUUAAAAUACCACAAUUUCUUCAAGCUCCUCCUUUGCCUCAUCAACACCAGCCACGUCAGCGAAAGCUAUUGUUUCACCUUGUUCAGAGACUUUUGAACCCCCAGAACUCCUUGCCUUGCCAUUCCUAAUCUGACCAGCUGUAUGCUGCAUACAUGCAUGAUUAAAUCAGAACGUAUCAGUACUACAAAAACAUUAAUGUACUCAAAGAGCUUACAAGCAAAUUCAAACCUGAGAAAAAUUCACAGGGAACCGAUGGAGAAGUCCCGCAAGAACAGCAACAUAGAACAAAGCUAUCUGCAAAAGAGAGGAAGUCAAAUCGAUAAAAUUCCACAGACGUAUACAAACACAUGAUUUAGAAAGAACCAAGUGAACGGAGUAACUGAAGGUAUUCUUGUCCCAAAUUAUAACCAAUCAUAGUCCACCAACUACAACCUCUACAUUCCUGCCACCUGAAGAGGAAAUAGAUUACCCAAUAAUAGAGGGCCCAUCAGAUCACUCUUUGAGAUUCCUAGUCCAAAGAAGGCGAGAGAAGAUCCUCUCCUCUUCUAGAUUACAUACUUCAAUCAGGCAGCCUACCACAAAAAAACUGCUACCCCCAACAAAACCAUUACCACUUAACCGGUUAACUCAUUAAGAACUCUAAGAAAAGCUUCUUCUUCUUCUUUUUUUUUUUUUAAAAAGAAGCAAUUAAGCUAGUUUCAUUCAAAUCAUGACAACAAACAAAAAACACAACUUACCAAUGCAGAGUUGAAGAAUCCACCAGAUCGCUUAUCGGGAGACCCGAACUCCACAUCGUUUUCCAGCAUCUUCUCAUAUGGAGUCUUAAUAUCACUGGGCCGAGUUGUUGUAUAUACAAUUCGCUUUGUAGGCGCCAUACUCCUCAACAAGGACUCCGACUCCUGAAACUUACCAAUUUCACUCUCUUGAACGCUCCCUUCGUUCUUCAAUUUGAACAUUACAUGAACUCCAUCAACCUCCACCUUUUGAACCUGAUUACUAUUAAUCUUAUUCAAAAACUCGCUGUAAGGAACGCUGACAAAAGUCGUCGGGGUCCUAGGCUCGGACCCGGGCAACGGAAUCCCGGGUCGGAGCAGUCGCAUAACGAACAUAACAACACCCAACUGUAAAAGCAAAACACCAAUUUCUUGAGCUUGAACUAUCGGUUGCCACUGCCAUUUCUUUCCUUUGGACCUCCACAACCCGCUUCUUCCACCCUUUUCUCCUCUCUGAUUGGUCGAACCCCCCGAAUUUGACGGACUCUGUUUCUGCGUCACUCCUUGCCCACCUUCGCUUUCAUUUUUCUCGCCGGAGCUCGCCUUCGAAUCGCUUCUGUCCGUACAAUUAGCCAAAAUUUUGCUCUCUUUGAACCUUAAUUUACCUCUUCCAUAAAGCUUUAAUCUCUCGUGGUUUCCCACAACAGCGACGUUCUUUAGGGUGGAAGUGAUAGAAUUGGGGAAGAAACGGUUCGUUUUUUGUUGCAAAACCCUAAACCGAAUGGCUUUGAAGUUUAAUCCAUGUAGAUAAAGAAGAUUAGAGUAAGAAUUUGUGCUGAAUUUACCGUGGAAUGUUAUCGUCGCCGGUCGUAGAAAUUCAGUAGAUGACAUUGCCCGAAACCUAAAAAAAUCAGGAACAAUCUUUUUUUCAAAAUAUAAAUUAAAAAUAGGAUCAUUUAUAUGUUCGUUUUAGUUAGCGUUUUUUAUCUGCAGAAAUUCGUAGAGAUAGAGACACGAUAAUAGAGCAUUAGCGAAAGAUAUUAUUAUGGGAGAAUUUGAGCCGUUGGAUUAGAGAAAAAUCAUCGAGUCUUCGUUUCAUCAGGAGCAAAAGGGCAAAGAUUAGGGGAUUAACUGCACCAAACGUCCUUAAAUUACUAUCUAAAUUUUAAAUUUGUCCUUGAAUUUUAAAAUCCUUUAUUUGUGUUCUUGAAGUAUUAAUAUUUUAUCAAUUAUGACUUUUAGUUACUAUACACAUCAAUUUUGGCAUUAAAUUCCAAUAUGAAUAUGACUAUAUCAUAUUUAAAAUAAGUAAAUCAAAUUAUAAAUAUAUUUAUAAAAUUUUUAUUUGAUAAUUUAAAAAAUAAAUGCGUAGUCUUCUUAAAUUUUAUUAACAUGUGUGCAUCUAAUGCAUUGACAAUUUUGAUUAAAUGUGAUAGGUGCAUAAUUUUUCAAUUCGAUCCAUAUGUUUUAAGAUACUCUAUAUCGAAGCUGAAUUAGUAUUUAACGCCUAAAUUAAUGGUUAGGCUAAAAAAAUGCUUUGAUUAUAUAAUAUUUAUCCUUUAAAGACUCAAUUAGAAUAUUUUGAAAUUUGAAGAUCAAAUUUAGAUUUUGAGCAAUAGUUUGAGGAUAUUUGAUGGAAUUAACCCUUGGUGUUUGGAGGAUUACAUAGAAGUUUGUGACGUGUGAUUAAGAUUGAGCGGCGACCACAUGUUUGGAACUGAUUGGUAGCCACACGCUUGGUUACAUUAGGGCCUUAGCUUUGGAUUUUUUACGGUUUUAUGGGCUUUAAUUUGGGCUAUCUUGUCUUUCCCAAAUAAUGGGCUAUUGUGCGUGCAUCCUUUUAUGAGUAAUUUGUAAUUUUCUUUAGAUUUUCAGGUGGUUUUUUUCUUUUUUGCAAUAUCUUAUAUCUAUUUUUUUUGAUACCAUUCUUAGAAUUACUCAUAGUCCCUCCUCAAUUCAUAAAUAGGAGGAUAAUAUGCUUCAGCGCAAUCUAACCCACAUCCUCCUACUUUGACAACAAUACCCAUACCAAUCGAGCUAAAACACAAUUAACUUCAUAUGAAUUUUAAUUGUAUAAUCGAAUAAUAAUAGUAAAAUGAAUUCAGGGAAUCUCAAAUUUCGGCAAGUAGAGGGCACUUAAGUAAGGUAUUAGACACAAUUGUGUUGUAUUAGUUGUAAACCUUCUUUGUUAAGAAUGGUUUGUUUUAGAGAAAAUCAUUUUUUAAAAUAAUUUUUUUUAUGUGCCACAAUCUAAUUAUUAGUUAGUUGAUGUGGAUGGUCUCUUUCCCUUCCCAACACUAACCUUACUAGAUAUAAGAGUGGAUAUAUUUUAUCGAGGAUUAAAUAGAUCUAGAACAAAUUCUUAUAAAUAAUACCAUUGUUGAUACAAUGAUUGUUUAAAGCGUUAAAAAGAGGGGAAACAAAGUUAACAUUUUUCUCAUGACGUAUAUUUUUUAAAGGGUAAAUUUAUAAAAAUGACUUUCACUCUCAAAGUAAAUGAUACAUAUAUUAUCACGGAUGUAAUUUGACGAUUCUUACAUCAAUAUUGUUGUCAGUGUAGAAGGACGUGAGUUUAAAUGUGCUGAAGUGCAUUAUCCUCUUAUUUAAGAGUUGAGGAGUGAUUAUGGGUAGUUUUAGGUAUUGUAUAAAAAAAUGCAGAUAUGAUUAAAAAUCUAUACUAAGAUUAAUGUUAAAAAAUAAUAAUAUUUUUUAAUUCAUUAAUAUUAAUUAAUAGAAAUGUAAAAACUAUCUAAUUUAACAGGCACAAGAUUCAAUUUAACUUUUGCUUAGGUUCUGGAUAGUUUUUUGGAACUAUGGCGGCAAUAAUACAUUUCGGUGUAGCCAAAAAUUUUCCAACUUCUCAUUUUCUAAUCAACAAAAAUACAUGCAAGUAAGAGCCAAUAAUUAAAUAUUAAAUUUUAUAGAUGUGGGUGAAAAUAAAUUUUAAUAUUAAAAUUAUAUUUUUAAAAAAACCAAAAGAAAAAUAACAACAAUUGAGUUUUAGGCAAAAUGAAUACUUUUCUAAAAUUUAGGUUCAAAUCUUAAAUACGGUAUUUUUAGUUCAUUUGUGUAAACAUUUAAUAUAGAAAUAGUAAAAGACGAAAAUACCAUUAUAUUAAUAUAUUCCAUCCUUUUUUAAAAAUGGCAUUAAAGUGAUUUCUUUGAAUGAGUUGGUGAUGAGUUGACUCGUAACACCAACUUAAUCAAUUGCAUUAUUCUUAAUUGGUGAAGAUAAUAAAUUGUACAUAUUAAAAUAAAAUUUUGUAAAAGUAUAAAAAUGAAGUUUUGAUUGAAUGAUAAAUUUAAGGUUUUACUAAUUUAAUUAACUUAGGUUCAAAUUUCAUCAUAUAGAGAAACUACACAUCAAAUAUUGUACACUAAAAGUGAAGUGAAUUUAGCAACAAUCUGGAAAAAGUCUUCAAAUUGUAUAAAGACGUUCGUUACCGAUCAAGGCGAGUGGUGAAAAUUUUGAAUUCUCUAAAGAUCGAUCAACCAAAAAAGUGAGAUUCAAUGAAUCGAAUAUAGAUGGGGCCGUCGAUAUGGCAGUGGAUUUGGAACCCAAGUCAACACUUUCCUGAAAAGACAAAUUGUUAGGUGGUUUAGCAAGUGGAGCUAGGCGUCAGAGAAUCAUUAUGAUUUUGGAGAUGAUGAAGAGAUCGAAUUGUAGGACAGGAUCUAUGGUGAAUGGAAUUCCUGCGAUUAACUUUUCUGAAAGAUUUAAUCAAUUGUUGAUUAAAGACAUGGCCACCACGGUGGUCUUCAAGCUCUUAGGACGAUCCAUCGAAUAUACAACCCUACAAAACAAAAUCAAUAGUCUUUGGCGACCCCCAUCUCCAUUUCAGUUAAUGGAUAUAGAAAAUAGAUAUUUUCUAGUGAAAUUCUAGAAUAAGGAUGAUUUUGAGAAAGUUUUAUCUCAAGGUCCAUGGAUCAUUUACGGGAAAUACCUUAUAGUGCAGUCUUGGACUACGGACUUUAAUCUGAUGCAACCUUAUCCGAGUGUUGUGAAGGCAUGGAUUAGACUCUCAAGUUUCUCAAAUUUCUUUUAUAAACAUAGGAUCCUUGAAGAGUGUAACACCCCUUACCCGAGACCAUUUCCAGAGUCGAGCUCGAGGCAUUACUUUACUUAACUUAAAAAUUCAGGGCAUAAAAUUUUACUUUUAAAAUUAAUUUCACUAUUCACAACAAAGCUGUCCACCUGCGCAGCAGUUACUAAUUUAGUUAUAACUCGAGUUACGAAAUUCAAAAUUUAAAUCCGUAAAUUUUUCCUGAAACUAGACUCACAUUUCUUCUUACCAUAAAUUUUUCAGAAUUUUUGGUUUAUCCAAUUAGUACAAUUUAUUAGUUAAAUAUCCCUUGUUUCACCACUCGACUAUCCUGACCUCUUGUCACUAAAAAUAAGCUUUCUCAUUGUAUGAUUUUCAUAUGGGUUCUCACUUGUUUAUACAGAAAAUAGACUCAACAAGGAAUCUAUAAAUAUAAACUACAACUCAUAACCAUUUUUGUACAAUUUUUAAUAAUUUUCUAAACUCAUAACAGAGGACUCCAAAAAUAGUUCUGACCCUGUCUCACUAAAAUUCACAUAUCUUAAAAUAUAAAAUUUAUUUUGCUACACCAUUAUUUUUCUAUGAAAGUAGACUCAAUAAGCUUUAUUUCUAUAUAUCAUUCACCUUCUAAUUCAUUUUAUACUAUCCUAGGUGAUUUUUCAAAUUCAUGUCACUGUUGCUGCUUGAAAUCUAUUUCUUUGCAAAUUUUACUCUUUCAUGAUUUCUAUGCAUGGUUCAUCACCUAAACAUUUGUAACAACAAACACCUUCAUACUUAGCCAUUUUAACAACCAUUCAUCAUCAAAUACUUACAUAUCAUUCUUUAGCAAAAUCAUAAAUACAAACAUUCAAAAUAACUAAGUCCCUAUACAUGCCAUAACCUAAACAUGGUUCAUCAUAAAAUACCGAGUUGUUAUCGUUGAUAGUGUGGACGAUCUCCGAUGUCUUUAAGUUCCCGAAAGUAGCUUUACAAUAUAUGGAGCUUGGAAGCUUGAAAACCCUAACUAUGACUUCUCCCCUUGCUAAAUUCGGCCUAAUGAAAAAGAUGAUCAAAAAUUGGCUUUUAAUUUUGUUUUUACUUCAUUUUAAUUUUAAAUGACUAAAAUGCCGUUAAUGAAAAAAUUUGGAAACAUGCCUAACCAUGUCCAUUUUUGUUCACCAACUUAACCAAUGGUCUAAUUACCAUAUAAAGACCUCCAUUUUAAAAUUUCAUAACAAUUGGACAUUUUAACAUAUAGAACUCAACUUUUGCACUUUUUACAAUUUAGUCCUUUUGACUAAAUUGAGUGCCCAAACGUCAAAAUUUUUGAACGAAAUUUUCACGAAAUCUUUCUGUGAAAUUGUAGGCCAUAGAAAUAUAAUAAAAAUAAAUUUUUCCUCAUCAGAUUUGUGGUCCUGAAACCACUGUUUCGAUAACCUUAAAUUUGGGCCAUUACAACUCUCCCCCCUUUAAGGAUUUUCAUCCUCGAAAAUCUUACUAGUAAAGAGAUUCGGGUAUUGUUUCCUCAUUUUCUCUUCCGAUUCCCAUGUCGCUUCCUUAAUCCCGCGCUUUUGCCAUAAUACUUUAACCAAUUUUAUCUUUUUGUUUCUAAGCUCCUUUGUUUCCCGUGCUAAUAUCUUAACCGGUUCUUCACUAUAAGUCAUAUCCGGUUGAAUCUCUACUUCUGUCGGAGUAAUAAAAUGUGAAGGAUCUAAUUGAUACCGUCGUAGCAUAGAUACAUGAAAAACAUUAUGAAUCCUAUCGAGUUUCGGUGGUAAUGCCAAUUGAUAAGCAACCGGUCCAAUUCUUUCUAUGAUUUCAUAUGGUCCGAUAAAUCUUAAACUCAAUUUACCUUUUCGACCGAACCAGAGAACUUUCUUCCAAGGAGACACUUUUAAUAAUACUUUAUCACCCACCUGAACUUCAAUCUCUUUUCGUUUAAGAUCAGUAUAUGACUUUUGACGAUCUAAAGCUGCUUUUAGACUAUCCCGAAUCAGCCUUACUUUUUCUUCUAUUUCCCGGAUCAAAUCAACCCCAUGUAUCUUCUUUUCACUGAGCUCUGUCCAAUAUAACGGUGUUCUACAUUUUCUACCAUAUAAAGCUUCAUAUGGAGCCAUUUUAAUACUGGACUGGUAACUGUUAUUAUAAGUAAAUUCAAUCAAAGGUAGAUACCUUUCCCAAUUACCUUCAAACUCUAAUAUACAACAUCGGAGCAUAUCUGCCAAUACCUGAAUUACACGCUCAGAUUGGCCAUCAGUCUGAGGAUGAAAUGCAGUGCUGAAAUGCAACUGAGUACCCAAAGCUUCUUGCAAUUUGUCCCAGAAACGAGACGUAAAUCGGGGAUCUCUAUCUGAUAUAAUGGAGACUGGCACUCCAUGUAGUCUGACAAUCUCAGAUAUGUACAAUUCAGCCAAUUUAUUUAAAUAAUAAUCCAUACAUACCGGAAUAAAGUGUGCGGACUUUGUCAAUUGGUCGACAAUUACCCAAAUGGCAUCUUUCUUCUUCGGAGACAUCGGUAACCUAGAUACAAAAUCCAUAGUGAUUCUUUCUCAUUUCCAUUUCGGUAUAGUGAUUGGUUGAAGUAAUCCCGAAGGCACUUGAUGUUCAGCUUUAACCUGUUGACAUACCAAACACCUUGACACAAACUCAGAGAUAUCACGUUUCAUACCCGGCCACCAAUACAUCUUUUUCAGAUAAUUGUACAUUUUAUUACUCCCCGGAUGUACAAACAUAGUACCGCUGUGGGCCUCGUGUAAAAUCUUCUGUAUGAGCUCUGUAUCCUUCGGUACACAUACUCUACCUCUGAAUAAUAAACAACCAUCACUCCCAAUCUGGAAUUUUGAAUCAUUACCUGAUUCACAAUGUACCCGUUUAGCAUGUAACUUCUCAUAAUUUUUCUGAGCCUCACAUAUUUGUUGACGAAACAUCGAUUUAGCCUUCAUUUCAGUUAUGAUUGAACUAUCAUCAGUCAGUAACAACCGGGCAUUCAUAGCUCGUAAAGUAAACAGAGAUUUUUGGCUCAAAGCAUUAGCUACAACAUUAGCCUUACCGGAUGAUAAUCAAUUCUAGCCAUCUGCGUUGUCUCAAAUUCAAAUCUUUCUGUGUCAUCAAAUACUUCAAGCUUUUAUGAUCAGUAUAAAUAUGACACUUUUCACCAUACAAAUAAUGCCGCCAUAUUUUCAAUACAAAUACAAUAUCAGCUAAUUCAGGAUCAUGUACCGGGUAGUUUCUUUCAUAUGGCUUUAAGUUGUCUUGAAGCAUAGGCUAUUACUUUAUCUUCUUGCAUCAAGACACAACCCAAACCAUUUAAUGAUGCAUCACUAUAAAUAAUAAAUUCCUUACCCGAUUCAGGCUGUACCAACACAGGUGCUUCCGUCAACAAUUUCUUCAAUCGGUCAAAACUUUGCUGACAUUUAUCUGUCCAUUCAAAUUUAACAUCUUUCUAUAAUAAACGGGUCAUCGUAGAAGCUAUCAUAGAAAACCCCUGUACAAAUCUCCAAUAAUAGCCAGCUAAACCCAAGAAACUUCUAACUUCAGAUACAUUCUUCGGUGGACUCCAAUUGACAAUAGCUGAGAUUUUACUUAGAUCUACCCUGAUGCCUUCUGUAGAUACAAUAUGUCUGAGGAAACCCACCUCUCAAAGCCAAAAUUCAUAUUUACUAAAUUUAGCAUAAAGCUUCUUUUCACGCAAAAUUUGCAACACUAUUCUCAAAUGUUCUGCAUGCUCAUUUUCACCUCGAGAAUAUACUAAAAUAUCAUCAAUGAAAACUACUACAAACUUAUCCAAGUACAGUCGAAAGAUUCAGUUCAUUAAAUCCAUGAAUAUGGUAGGAGCAUUAGUCAAACCAAAUGGCAUCACAAGAAACUCAUAGUGACCAUACCUAGUCCGGAAAGCAGUCUUCGGAACAUCUAACUCUUUAACCCGCAACUGAUAGUAACCGAAUCUCAAACCUAUAUUGGAGAACCCAGUGGCUCAUUUCAAUUGGUCAAUCAAAACAUCAAUUCUAGGCAGUGGAUAUUUAUUCCUUAUUGUUACUUUGUUAAGCUUCCGAUAAUCUGUACACAACCUCAUCGAACCGUCUUUCUUUUUCACAAAAAGCACUGGUGCACCCCACGGAGAAUAACUAGGCCUUACAAAACAUUUAUCAGUUAAUUCCUGCAACUGAGCUUUCAAUUCUUUCAAUUCCAACGGGGCCAUUCUAUAAGGAGCAAUAGAAAUGGGAGUUGUACCUAGAACCAACUUAAUACCAAAUUCAACUUCUCUAACCGGAGGCAAACUUGCCAAUUCUUCCGGGAACACAUCUAAAUACUCACGUACCACUGGCACUGAUUCAAUUUUCAACUCUGGAUCUUUAGUGUUCAAUACAAAAGCAAGAUAGGCUUCACACCGUUUUCUUAAACAUUUCUGAGCAGACAUAACAGAAAUCAUAGAGAGAGAACCAUCUGACUCAUCUGAAUCAAUCCGAAUAAUAUCACCAUUUUCACAUUUCAACUCAAUGUAUUUCUUUUCGCAAUUCACUAUCACAUCAUGGGCAGUCAACCAAUCCAUACCAAGAAUCACAUCAAACUCGUCAAACGACAAUAGCAUGAGAUCGGCCGAAAAACAGUGACAUCUAAUCAUCAAAGGGCAACUCUUACAUACUUUAUCUACUAACACAUACUGGCUUAAUGAAUUUGAUACUUUAAUUACAAAUUCAGUGGAUUUUACAGGCAUGUUCAUACUAGGCAUCAAUCUCAUACAAACAUAGGAAUGAGUCGAACCUGGAUCAAUUAAAGCAAUAACAUUAGUAUCAUAGAGAGAAAAUGUACCCGUAAUCACAUCAGGGGAGGAUACCUCUUCUCGAGCACGAAUAGCAUAUGUUCUUGCGGGUGCUCUAACAUCUGAUCUAGCUGCUGAGUCUCUAGACGUACCCCUGUUACUUGUUCCAACUCCCGGGUUCCUCUAUGAUCUGCGUUUAGUAGGAGCAUUUCCUAAUCUUGCACUCAAUAUUGCUUCUCUUUUAACUAUUUUAGGACAAUCCCGAAUAAAAUGAUCUAGUACACCACAUCUAAAACAAGCAUUUUCAUUUGCUCGGCACUCACCGAGAUGACGUCUACCACAUUGAGCACACUCUGGUCUAGAUGGUCAAGUACUACCCACACUUGCAACUGUAGUAGUUUGAGCUCUUGAACCCACAAAUUCUCUACCUCUGUUUCGGCUAGGAUACUCGGCUGAAAAAUUCAUUCUAGUAGAAAACUCUCUAGGCCUCUUGGAUGUAGACUGAAAUGAUCUGCUCAUCUACCAUUUCUUCGUGUCUGGAACCUCAAUCUCAACUUUGCCCUUUUUUUUAACAACUCAUUUGUUUUACAGGCUCUUUCAACUAGAACAACUAACUCUUUUAUCUCUAGAACACCAACUGACAAUCGAAUAUCAUCAUUAAGUCCAUCCUUAAAUCUUUUACACAUAAUAGCUUCUGUAGAUACAUACUCUCGAGCAUACUUGCUGAGUCUGACAAAUUCACGUUCAUACUCAGUCAUAGUCAUCUUACCUUGUUUUAACUAAAGGAACUCUUUUCUUUUCUGGUCAAUAAACCUCUGACUGAUAUACUUUUUACGGAACUCCUCCUGAAAGAAAUCCCAACUAACUUUCUUACUCGGUACAACUGAUACAAGAGUCUUCCACCAAUGAUAGGCUGAAUCUCUGAGAAGUGAGACAACACACUUCAUGCAUUCUUCAGGUGUACAAGAUAAUUCGUCAAAAACUCUAAUAGUAUUCUCGAGCCAAAAUUCUGCUUUCUCUACAUCAUCGUCUUUAGUAGCCUGAAAUUCUUCAGCCCCUUUUUUUCUGAUCUUAUCAACUAGUGGUAUUUCUCCUAUAACUAUACCUGUACCUGUAACUGGGGGAGCUACAUGGGGAAUCUGAAAAUCAUGAGGGGGUGGAGAUCUAACAACCGGAUUCGUACGAACGAACUCGGCAAACGAUUCAUUCAUAGCAUGGAAGAAGUCUUCUCGAGCCCCUCCUCCCUGACUAACUAUAACGGACCUUUCACUAACAUUAACAUCUGGUGGCACCAUCCCUUUUGCGGAAGCGGGCACAUUACUCUCUACUUCAUCUGUACCAGCUCGUUCGGGAUCCAUAACUAUAAAAAAACAUUUUAAAAUCGCCAGGAGUCGUCACACUAUCAAUAUAUAAGUAUGGCAUGUAUAGGUAGACUUUUAUUCAUACUAAGUAUUCCGAGAAUCGACUAAACCUGCUCUGAUACCAACAAAAUGUAACACCCCUUACCCGAGACCGUUGCCAGAGUCGAGCUCGAGGCAUUACUUUACUUAACUUAAAAAUUCAGGGCAUAAAAUUUUACUUUUAAAAUUAAUUUCACUAUUCACAACAAAGUUGUCCACCUGCGCAGCAGUUACUACUUUAGUUAUAACUCGAGUUACGAAAUUUGAAAUUUAAAUCCGUAAAUUUCCCCUGAAACUAGACUCAUAUUUCUUCUAACCAUAAAUUUUUUAGAAUUUUUGGUUCACCCAAUUAGUACAGUUUAUUAGUUAAAGUCUCUCAUGUUUCACCACUCGACUAUCCUGACCUCUUGUCACUAAAAAUAAGCUUUCUCAUUGUAUGAUUUUCAUAUCGGUUCUCACUUGUUUAGACAGAAAAUAGACUCAAUAAGGAAUCUAUAAAUAUAAACUACAACUCAUAACCAUUUUUGUACAAUUUUUAAUGAUUUUCUAAACUCAUAACAGAGGACUCCAAAAAUAGUUCUGAUCCUGUCUCACUAAAAUUCACAUAUCUUAAAAUAUAAAAUUUAUUUUGCUACACCAUUAUUUUUCUAUGAAAGUAGACUCAAUUAGCUUUAGUUCUAUAUAUCAUUCACCUUCUAAUUCAUUUUAUACUAUCCUAGGUGAUUUUUCAAAGUCACGUCACUGUUGCUGCUUGAAAUCUGUUUCUUUGCAAAUUUUACUUUUUCAUGAUUUCUAUGCAUGGUUCAUCACCUAAACAUUUGUAACAACAAACACCUUCAUACUUAGCCAUUUUAACAACCAUUCAUCAUCAAAUACUUACAUAUCAUUCUUUAGCAAAAUCAUAAAUACAAACAUUCAAAAUAACUAAGUCCCUAUACAUGCCAUAACCCAAACAUGGUUCAUCAUAAAAUACCGAGUUGUUAUCGUUGAUAGUGUGGACGAUCUCCGACGUCUUUAAGUUCCCGAAAGUAGCUUUACAAUAUAUGGAGCUUGGAAGCUUGAAAACCCUAACUAUAACUUCUCCCCUUGCUAAAUUUGGCCUAAUGAAGAAUGUUAUCAAAAAUUGGCUUUUAAUUUUGUUUUUAAUUCAUUUUAAUAACUAAAUGACUAAAAUGCCGUUAAUGAAAAAAUUUGGAAACAUGCCUAACCAUGUCCAUUUUUGUCCACCAACUUAACCGAUGGUCUAAUUAUCAUAUAAAGACCUCCAAUUUAAAAUUUCAUAACAAUUGGACACCUCUAACAUAUAGAACUCAACUUUUGCACUUUUUACAAUUUAGUCCUUUUGACUAAAUUGAGUGCCCAAAUGUCAAAAUUUUUGAACGAAAUUUUCACAAAAUCUUUCUGUAAAAUUUUAGGCCAUAGAAAUAUAAUAAAAAUAAUUUUUUCCUAAUUAAAUUUGUUGUCCUGAAACCACUAUUUCGAUAACCUUAAAUUUGGGCAUUACAAUGAGAUUGGGGGAACUAUCGAUAAAGUUACAAAGAUGGACUGUAACAUUGAUAGUGGAAUAAGAGGGAAAUUUGCUAGGUUGGCAGUCUAUGUAAACCUUGAUGAACCGUUGGUCUUCCAGGUUCUGAUCAAUGAAAUUAUUCAACGAGUUGAGUUUGAAUUCCUUCUGGUGGUGUGCUUUUGUUGCAGGCGGUAUGGUCAUGUAAGAGAGGUAUGCCCAAAGAUUUCUAUUUUUUUAAACCAUUCGGAGGUGGGAGAUCCAACGAUGAGCCCGAAAAUGGCUCUGGUGCACCAUCUAGUAGCAAAAAGGAUAAAGUAGUGGAUACAAGUUGGCCACAUCCACAACAGUCCCAUCUAGUAACAAAAAGGAUAAAGUAGUGGAUGUGGGCGCAAGUUGGGCCAACGUAUAAAUAGACCCAUUUGGGUAUUUCCAGUCCAAGUUCAAUAAUGGAAAUUCAACAGGCUAAAGGGUUGGGCAAAGUAUCCACUAAUCCCUUUAUUCUCAGGAUGAGAAAAUGCUUUUGCCCUCUUCUCCUAUUUUUAACGCACCUAAUGUCGUUUGACAUGAAGAAGCAACUUACAGUGAUAUUAUGGCUAAUUCACAAAAACAGGUCCAUAUUUCAACAGCUUUUCUUAAUCCCAAUUUUAUAGGUCCAGUUAGGAUGAAGGUUCUAUUGAAAGAGAGAGUUCUUAACCCUGGUAGACAUUCGACCAUUUUUUAAGGAAAAUUUGGCUUCUAUUGAAGAAAAUACGUUGAAAGGAAAAAGUUCUAUAAAGACAGGGAAUUGAAUCUAUGUUGGUAAGGGACGAAGGAACGGUGGAAAAGCUGAAUCAAAUAGAAAUGGCAAGAUCCUUAACAAGACUAUUCGAGGUCAAAAAGAUAGAUUUAAGGCUAUUGGUAAUCCACGUACUCCUCUAUCGGACACUAUAAAUUUUAUGGCUAAAUUUAUUAUUUCUCAAAUUGAUGUUUUCGAUGACACGAGUACCCUACCAAGGAAUGGGAAAGGUUUGGGAAGCUCGUCCUUUGCUAAACAGUAAAGGUUAAUAUUUUCUCUCAUAGUCUUUGUAUAUUAUUAUGAAUGUAUUAAUGUUUUCGUGAAAUUGUCAAGAUUACACCAAUUUAAAAUUCCCUCGUUAUUUUGGGAGUAUAACUUGAAAUAUAAAAUGGAUAUAGUCAGUUUAUUGGAAAUGAGAGUUAGUGGUACAAAAGGAGACAAUAUUGUAGCUAAGUUGGACUUUUAAUUUUCUCAUUGUGUGGAAGCAGUUGGUUUUUCUAGAAGAAUUUGGGUUGGCUGGAAGGACUAGAUUUGGGUUAAGGUAGUCCAUAGCCAUCCCCAAUUUAUUCUAAUUUGGGUCUUUAAUCAUUUUCUUCGCCAACCCAUUUUUAUCACUUUAGUUUAUGGUAGUCUUGACAGGCAAAAACGGAAACUUAUAUGGGAAAGGCUUAAAGCUACUAUUCUAACAAGGGUGUUCAUUGGCUCAUUAUUGGGGAUUUAAUGCCAUCCUCUUUGCUAGUGAGAAGAAAUGUGGGCGGACUAAUGGAAGAAAGUGUUCUCUUUUUAGUGACUUCAUGAUUUUUGUUGCCUUACAUGAUUUAAGCUUUAAAGGCCCUCAAUUCACUUGGUGCAAGAGGGAUUUUUUUAUAGGCUUGACAAAUCAAGUGGGAAUGAUGCUUGGAUGAAUAUGUUCCCUAGUAGUUUGGUCACCCAUCUUCCAAGGCUUAAGUUUAACCAUAAAUCGCUUUUUCUUUCCUUGAAACCUGAGGGUAAAACUUCAACAUAACGACCUUUUAGAUUUUUAGUUAGAUAGCUGAAACAUCUGUCUUUUUCAAAUUUUGCUAAAAGACAAUGGAGUUUCAAUGGUAAUUUGGCAGACUCCCUUUCUAAGUUUUCCUUGGGGCUAAAAGAGUGGAAUCGUAUUGUUUACGAGUACAUUAGAAUAUGUAAAAGACAUAUUUUGAAUAAACUUUCAAGUGUCUAAAAAAGGAUGGAGUUUUCUAAUUCUAGCAGGCUCAUUCGGUCUAAAAUAGAAGUUCGUGAGGAAUUGAACAGUGUUCCCCAUCAUGAGGAGAUUUUAUGUAAGAAAAAAUUCUCGAUGUGAAUGGUUGAAUAUGGGUAAUUGAAAUACUAAGUUUUUUCACUUUCGUGCUUUACAAAGGAGGAAACAUAACCAUAUUACUUCCCUUAAAAAUGACAGUGGUGAAUGGAUUUAGAUGUCAAAGCUCUUCAACUUGAAGCAAUUAGUUUUUUUCAAGAGUUGUAUAGUGUGCAACUUGAGCCCAUGAGAAAUUUACCCCCUAGUGUAUUUCCUAAUCUUGAGCACUAUAAUGUUCAGUUUCUUGGAAAGGAGGUGUCUGAAGAUGAAAUUACAACUACUCUGUUUGAUAUGUCCCUUUUGAAGGCUCCGAGAAGUGAUGGUUUUCAAGAUCUCCUCUUUCAGAACCAUUGAGAUUUAGUUGGUUCGACAAUUUGUGAGUGGGUUAAAUCGAUUUUUACUGGGAAAUGUGUUAAGCCUAAACUCAAUAACUACAUUGGUAGUCCUCAUUCCUAAGGUUCCUAAUCCUUAGAAGUUGACACAAUUUGCCCCAUCAGUCUAUGUUUGGUGAUGUAUAAGUUGCUGAUGAAGGUUAUUGCUAAUCAGUUUAAAUUAGUGUCCCUAAGAUCAUUGGACAAAGAACAUACUGGCUUUAUUGUAGGUUGGAAUAUCACUGACAACAUCCUUAUUGCUCAUGAGGUUAUUCAUUCAGUAAGAUGUAAGCACAAGAAUAGAAAGUGGAUGGCAAUCAAAAUUGAUAUUGAAAAAGCUUAUGAUAGAGUUCGUUGGGAGUUUAUUGAAGCAUCUCUUCAAGUUGCAUAUAUUUCUAAUAUGCUUAUAAAUGUUAUUAUGUUUGCUAUCACAAAUUCUACUAUGCAGGUGUUGUAGAAUAAGGUCCCUACGCAGAAGUUCAGACCUACGAGAGGUAUUCAACAGGGGUUGCCUUUAUCACCUUAUCUGUUUAUCUUGUGUAUGGAAUGACUCGAACAUAAUAUUCAUUAUGCUAUAGAUAAUGAACAUUGGCAACCAAUCCAUUUAUCAAGGUCUGGACCUUUUCUUUCACAUCUUUCUUUGUAGAUAAUAUUGUUAUCUUUGGUCAUGCAAAUCUUCAACAAGCUUUACUCCUUAAGGAUUUGUUAGAGAGGUUUUAUGUUUACUUUGGGCACCAUGUUAAUGCUUGGAAAACGGAUAUCUACUUCUCAAAAAGUAGAUAUGAUGGAAUUGGAAAGCAGCAGAAUAAAAUUCUUGGUUUUCAUAAGGUACAAAAUCUUGGUAUUGAUCUGGGAGGUACCUCUUUUCCAUGAUAAGAUUUCAAACAGUACCUUGUGUUUUGUUGUCGAUAAGGUUCGCAGCAAGCUAAAUAGAUGGGAUGCUAGGAAACCCUCUUUUGCUGGUAGAGUUACUCUUGCCCAAGCGGUCUUGUUGUUGGUCCCUAAUUACUUUAUGCAAUCCAUGAUGAUCCCUAAAGAAUUUUGUGAUGAGAUUGAGAGUAUUGUUCAACAAUUUAUAUGGGGGUCCUCUGAGGGUCGGUAGAAGAUGUCAUUGGUUAGUUGAAAGGCUGUUUGUUAGCCUCGAUCAUGUGGUGGCCUUGGCUUUCGACAUUUAAGGGACUAAAAUACCACUUUUAUGAUGAAAUUAGGAUAUAAUAUAGUUUCCAAAAUGGAUGCUUUAUGGGUUUGUGUUCUUAGGUCCAAGUAUGGAAUGAAGGAGGAUGUAACAGCUUGUUAUUCAGUGGUGUUGGAAACAGUGGUUUCGGGACCACAAUUUCGAUGAGAGAGUCCGUAGAUAUAUUUAAUUAAUAACUACGAGAUUAAAUAUAGUAUAAUAGUGAAUCAUGAUUUAAGAGAUUUUAUUAAUUGGUCAGUUAGUUAACGUACAAAUAGUGCAUACCGAAAGUCAAGUGAUUUUGAAAAAUGAGGUAUUAGGACCUCAUUUCUAUAAACUGAGCCCAUGAAUAUUUUUAUUAAAUAUUUACGAAGCUUUUAUAUAAAUGGAUUGAAGUUUGAUCUAGAAUUUUUGAUGAUUUGAUAAUUAAUUAAGGAAAAAGGACUAAAUAAUAAAAGUGGUAAAAAUUAAUCACUAUAGAUUUUUAAUUAAUUGAAGGACAAAUUGUGUAAAUAAACCAUUAGUAUAUGGCCAAACGAUGGUGGGUGAUGAUUGGAAUCCACCAACUUUGAUUAAAAAUGUCUAAUAUUAGUUUAAUCAGGGUUUUAAUUAAUUAUAAUUAGAUUAAUUUAACUAAAGUAUAAACGUAGUAAAAUAAAAUAAGACAAACCAUUUUUUUCUUUCUUCUUUAACUUGUCUAUUUACCGAAACCAUAUAAGCAAAAUAGGGUUUUGAAUAUCAACUUUUGAUCCUCCAUUGAUGGUAAGAUUCAAGUCUGUUUCUUGUAAUUUUUAUAUUUUUGAAAUCAUUGCAACUAGGUCCAACUAACCCGUAUCUCCGUUUUCAAAAUUAUUAAAGAUUUCUAAAGUUGUUAUUGAUGAAAAUUGAAGUUUUUGAUGUUUAAUAGUUUGAUUAUAAUCUUAGAUAUGUUUAAAGACUAAUUUGUUAAGUAAAUUUUGUUAGUUUUGUGUAUAAGGACCAAAUUGUAAUAAUGUAAAUAUUUUCAUGAAAUUUUUGAAAAUUAUGUUUUUAUAGUGUUGUAUAGUUAUGAAUUUGUAAUUGGAUUGAAAAUCAAAGCUUGAAUUUAAAAGAUAUAAUAAUUUCGGCUUUAGGGACUAAAUUGGAAAAAUGAAAAAAUAGGGAAAUAGUUAAAAAUAAAUAAAAUAUAUUAUAUUCAUGAAUUGAUAUGGUUUAGAGUGAUAAAAGAUGAUAAUGUGAAAUGAAUUAUUAUACAGAUUAAUGAUUAAAUCGCACGGAGGGAAAUAGGAAAAAGGAAAAAUUAUAGAAUAGUCCCUACAAAUCAACUUGUUAUUCGAAUACAUUAGGUAAGUUCAUAGUGUAUAGAAAUGUACAUUUAUGCAUUGGUUGUUGGUGAAUAGUGUAUUUAUAUUUAUUUAUAUUGUUUGAAACUUGAAAUAUUAUAAACUAAUACUAAUGUGGGAAAUGACUUAUUUGAAAACUAUUGAAUACUUGUGAAACAUGAUUUAUAUGGACUUGAAAUGAAUGUGACUUGUUUACAAUAUGUGUACUAAUAAUAUGGAAGUGCCCCUAAUUUAUAAAUAUUAUGAAUCUUCUUUAAAUGUUUGUUUGAACGUAGUAAAUGAUUAGGAUAUGACUGGCAUGCUAAUAAGGUUAUAUUGCGUGUUGUACGGGUUUGAUAUGAUAUGAGAUGAUGGCAGAUGAUAUGUUUAUAUGCUCACUGAAUAUGCCGGUAUCCAACAUUUGUUACGAGUUUCUAAGUUGUAUUUACAGUGAUUCAGGCAUGCUUCUAGGGGAGGAUGUGCAGCCUUAGGGCUUGACACUUAGUGCCCAGGCGUUUUUCUGGGAAGAUGUUAGCUUUCAGGCUUGGAACUCAGUGCCCAAGCAUGUUCUUGGUUGGUUUAGCUCGUUUGAGCAUUCUAGCGUGUUUUGGUGGAUAACAAAGUAUCCAAAGUAUUUUGCUAUAGUUCAUCGAGCUACCUGUUAAAAGAAAGUAUAUUGACUGAUUUCAUGAGUUGCUUAGAAAUGAUAUGUUUAUAUGACUAUUGAAAUGUUAACUGAUGAAAUUGAAUGAAUGAUAAAUGUGUGUUUAAAAUUUGUUUGAAAACUUAUCAAAAUGACUAGAAUGUUUAUAGUUUACAUGUAUGAAACGUUCGCUUUGUACUUGUGACAUGUAGUGAUAGUGCUCUAUGUUUAAAAGAAAAAGAUAUAUGAUUGUGUAUGUAACGAAUUAAAAAAAUGUGUUUAAGAAUAGAUUUGAUCAAUUGAUUAACUUGAUUCAUAUGUUUUAUAGUUUGUUUGGAUGAUACUGUUAUGUAUCAUAUUGAAUGGAUUUGGGAAGAUUAUAUGAUUUAAUCCGUGAUAUACUCACAUUACUGUUGUAAAAUGUUUUGACAGGAAAGUGACUUAAACUAGUUAAAUCUAUUUACUUAAAUGUGAAUCUAAGAUAAGACUAUUGUUUAUGUACUUAUGAAUUUACUAAGCAUGACAAUGCUUACCCCAUUUUAUUUUCCUAUCUUCUAUAAUUGCAUCUUUGUGAAACUUGGCUAUCGGAUCACUUCCAGAGCUCACACUAUCCAACGUCUCUAUUAGUAAUCUUUGGUUCAUCUUGUUCGGUUAUAAGUGACAUGUAAUAGGUGUGAUAUAUGUGUGUGUGUGUGUGUGUGUGUGUGUGUGUGUGUGUGUGUGUGUGUGUGUGUGGUGUUCAAAUUUAUGAAUUUUCCCAUUUGGUAUGUUUAUUUAGGUAUUGUAUUAAAGCAAGUUUAUGGGAUUGUUUCGGUAACUUGAACUAUACUUAUGCUCGUAUGAUAUGAAAAUGUGUAUGACUAGCUUGAAUGUGUGCUAAGGGUUUUAGAAUGUGAUAGUUGGAUGAAUGCAUAAGUUAUAGGUGAAUGGAUUGAAAUAGUUUAGUUGAUUAUGGUGCCAAUUGUGGCAUAUUGAUUAGACAUUUAGGAAUGCUUUAUAAGUUAUGUUUUGAGCAUGAAAUGUGAAUAUUUGAGCAGGUGUUGAUGUUAGUAAAUGAAUGCAUUAUAGGUCUCUGUGUAAGGUUGAGACAAAUUUGUACAUUAGAUGCUUUUUUUCUGCACACACAGUUUGCCACACGGUUGGGUAUAUCACAUGGUUGGUUGAUAAGGCUGUGUGCUAUUGGUAAUUUAGAUGCAUGAAUGUUGACAUGGUCUCAAUCUCUCACAUGGCUCAGCCACACGGCUAUGAGAAUGUGUGCAAAAUUUUACAACUAGGUCUAUAAGACCACAAUUUUUUACGCGGCUUGACAAAACGGCCAUGUGACCCUUGUUUACUAAAAUUUUCAUAUAUUUUAUUAAGUUUACAACUAAGUCCCUAUUUGUUUUCGAGAUGUUUUAAGAGCUUUCGUAAGCUCGUUUGAGACUCAGAUUGAUGUGUAAAUCAUUACAUACUUGAGUUAUGAACGUUUUAAUGAUUUUUUUGAUUACUAAAUGUCAAAUUUACAUGUAUUUAUUCAUUUAUCUUCAAUAGCAUCGUGUAGCUCGAGUUCGACGACCGAACCGGGUAUAGAGUGUUAUAGAGGAGCUGCUAGAAGAUAUUUUGCGAGGACGAUGUUCUUUCCUUUGGAGGGCACUCUUUAAGGUUUGGCCUUUACUCUGAGAGAAUCUGCUUUGGCCUGUGGGAAAUGUGAACAAUAUUCAUUGUUGGAAGGAUUUGUGAAUUUCAUAUGUGGGACCUUUAAUUGACCAGGUUCUGUCUCAUGCUAAUAUCAAUCAAGAAUGUUUGCUUAGUGAGAUGAUUACUAAGGAGGGAACUUGAAAUUUGAAGCUUUUUCGCAUUUGAUUGCUGGAGGAUAUUAUUGGGUGUAUUGUGAGUAUUCCCCCGCCACACAUCUCUGUAGGUUGUGAUAGGAUUAUUUGGCUCAAAUUUCAACUAGUUUCUUCUCCCUUAAAAGUGCCUACUGAAGUUUACGAAAAAGAUCGUAGAGCUCGAGGGACGCAAAAUAGAAUAUUCUGUGGAAAUUUCAAGGUCUCUAAAGAGUUAGAUUCUUCAUUUGGCUUGUUUUGAAACAAUGCCUACUUACCAAUGUGGAGUGAGUCAAGCGAGGUAUAGGGCACAAUAGUUCUUGUAGACUGUGUGGACAUCAUUUUGAGGAUAUCUUACAUUCCAACAGAGAUUGUCCUACAGCUAAGGAAAUUUGGAAGCUGGUUUUGUCAAAUGACCUGUGUGGGCAUUUUUUUGCAUGUAAUAUUCAUGAAUGGUUAAGUCUAAUUUACUUAAUCCUUCUAAACUAGCUAUGGGCGAGGUUGUUUGGUUGAGCUUAUUUGGUUUGAUAGCCUGGAGAAUAUGGAAAAAUUAGAACCUUUUCAUCUUCCAAGGGUCUCCUUGAAAAGUAAGUGACAUUGUUAAGAAUCCAUACAUCUGGGCAAAACGGUUUGCUUCUUUUCAUGGGAAGGAUUUGUCUAGACAACAGACACCAAGGCCAUUUAUUCCUAUGCCGGAGAAUUAGAUUAAAUUAUGCACUGAUGGUGCGGUGCAAGCUAUGUUUGGAAUUGCUGCAGCUGGGGGAGUCCUAAGGUAUGGAAAUGAGGAUUGGAUUAUGGGAUAUAACAAAUUUUUGGGUGAAUGUUCCGUCUUUGAUGCUGACUUGUGGGUCAUUCUCGAUGGGUUGGCCCUUAUCCAAUAUAAACGAUUUUAGGGCGUGAUGAUUCCAACAGAUAGUUUGGAGGUGGUCAAGGCUAUUCAGGAUUUCUCUUUGGCAGAUUCAAAUUCCACCCUCAUUAGAAGAAUUCAUCAACUCUUAGCAAAUGUUGGACAUUGGGUCAUGCAACAUAUUCCCAGGGAGUUAAACGAAAUUGCAAAUUGUAUGGCUAAAUUGGCUUUUGAUACAGGACAAAACUUGACGAUGUUUGAAAAGAUCCCAAAAGAGGCAUUAGCAAUCUCUCCUAUUGUCAAAACAAGUGUUAGCCUUGCUCAAAAGUCCUCUGUGUAGUUAGUUUGUCUUAAGUUUGUUUUCUUUUCACAAAAAAAAAAAAACAUCAUAUACAUAUUUUUAUUGGUUUUUGUUAAAAUAAAAGAGUAAAGUACUCUUAGUUCAUAAUUUUUCUAACUAAAUUGGUAUGGUUGACGUAAUUUUCCUAACCGAAUUUGUGUCUGGUUGACUUGUGACACAAACUCAGUCAAGAACUAGACUAAAAUACCUUCAAAUGAUAUAAAUUAGUUUAAUUAAAAAAAAGAUAUUUUAAUCGAAUUGAUAUUUAGUUGACUUGUGACAUCAACUUAAUUAGAGACUUAAUUUUUUUGAUAAAAUGUUGAAUGGUUGCCAUUAAUAAUACAAGAAUAAGAAUAAGCUGCAUAGAUGACACAUGUCCUAACCCGUCACUCACCAUUAAAAGGGUGAUAGACCCUAAUUAAUGAGAAAGCUGAAAAGUGAAACAUUUCCUAAAAGACUUCCAUAGUUAAAAACAAAAAAUUCCAUUUCCUACUGCCAUAAAUUAGAGACUUAAUUAAAAGAAUAGAUACAGACAAACAUAUUAUAUAUAAAUAGAGAUAUAGAUACAAGCAUUAUAGUACAACAAAGAAAUAAUAAUAUAAAAAUAUGUAAGUAAUUAAUAAAAUAAUUAAAAAUAAAAACGAUUCUGUUAAAUAGAUUUCAAUUGUGUUGGCAAGGUGUACAUUUUAGAACCAACACCUGUAUAACUCUUCUAAUGUAUAAUUUAAAGGUUUAAUUAUUUUUCAAAUAAUUAAUUCAAUUAAAAAUUAUAUCUACAUAUUUUCAAUGCUAAAAGCCAUAAAGUGAACAAAACAGGGUUUAUUCUUGGAUAACCCCUUACCCUGCUUUUAUUAAAAAGAAAUGGGUCACACACAAAAUAUUACAGGUGAGUUGAGUAAAAUAUUACAGGUAAUGAUGCAAUAUUAACUGUCACUUCUUCGUAUACCUGUUUUCUAUUUUGUCCUAUAUUGUCCCCACGAAUCAAGGGAAGAAGAGAAAAAGAAAUGGCAGAGAAAGCCCUAAAUUGAAGGAUCUAAGAAAGCUAUCCACCAAAAAGAAGUUUUCUAAAAAAAAAAAACAAAUCGAAAACCCCAUGUCCAAAACCACUCCCUCACCCCCCCUAUUUUACAUCUUCCUGUUUUUUGCUAAAAAAAGAGAGAAUUCCAUUAUGUUUGAAAUGCAUGUUUUAGCUGAAUUCUUUAGUCCUUUCCUUGAUGUUUACUAGGUAUAAUGGAUUAUUAGCACCCAAUUUUUUGUUUCUCUUAUUGCUUUGUUUCUGAAGAUAAAUUAAUAUUUUUUUAAAAAAAAUGAGUAUUGAUGCAAAGGGUAUUCAACUUUUUGUCUGGAGAAUUAUUAGAUUUUCUGGAAUUUGUUGCUAUAAAUUUGGAAGAAAAUACCCAGAUAUUUCAGGGUUUUUGAUCUUUGUUUUCCUUUUGUACAUAUUUUUCCCUCAUGUUUUCUUGUAUUUUAUGUACACUUCCCCUAUUAUGGUCUGCACUGCUGUUUUUAUCCGAUUUUAUUUCAAAACCAAGUAUGCUGCAUCCCGAUGGCUAAAGAAAAAAGAGAGUGCAGAUGGAAAAGUUGUAAAUACAUCAAACGAGGCUUCAUUGCGACUCCAGAAAAGUGUUAGACGAAAUGCUCGAAAGGAAGUGCUAGAAUGGGAUGGAAAACAUAGUGAGGAAAAAGACAUGCUUUUUGUGAGAAGUACUUGUGAUAGUCCGUCUAGUAAAACUAAUUUCUUGGAAGAAAAUUCCAAGGUUACCUUCGAUAGGGUAGGAAGUUCCAGCAGUGAACAUGGAGAGGGUUCCCCCCAUGACGAAACUGGAAAUCUGAAUUUGGUCUUUGAUAGUGAGACAUCGAAACCUCAUCGGGUGUUGGAUGAUAGCUUUCAAGGGUCAUCAGGAACAGGUCCUCGUGCUCGUGCUCGUGGUGUCAACAGCUUGGAAGAAGCGAAUGAUGCUGGGAAUAAGGCUACGAAUCGUAUGGAUCUUGGGUUAGCUGAGUUGGAAAGAAACAAAAGGCUGCAAAGUUUAAUUGCGAAACGUAGAGCAAAAAAGUUGUUUAGAAUGGCAAUUGAGAAAAGCCUGAUCGGUAUCAAUGGUAUUCCUCCUUCUCAAAUAGCUCCCAUUCUAACCGCUAAAAUCAACAAUGGUGAGUUUUCAAGUCAUCUUGAUGAAGACGAUUUACCAAUGCCUGGUUCAGCCCCUUCCUUAUUGUUGCCUAAACAGAAUUCAUUUGACCUACCUUAUGAUCCACUUGAAGAAAAACCCAACCUUAUGGCCGAUAAUUUCCAACAAGAAUUCAUGCCAGCCAAUCUCUUCUGCAGACACGAAAGCUUCCGUCACGGACCUUUGUUUACAUUUCCAACUUCUCAAUAUCCAUAUGGUGCCGAGUUUAACCCGUAUUAUAGCGGUGAGAAAAGGCUUUUUAAAUGGAAGCCAGGUAAGAUCAAGAUAAUAACUUAAAUAUAUUUUUCAUUGUUGAGAUCUUUCUUUUAUUUGGUUUUUCUGUUUAACGGAUAGGCUGUAGAAUUGGUUGUUUCAAAGCUUUGAGGUACAUAAUCAAAUUAUUUAAGUCAUUAUUCUGUGGAUAACAAUUGUGAAGAAAGAAUUUCCACAAGGCCCUGCCUAAAACUGUGUCCAAAAAGAGUACUUAAGAAAAACUUUUUAGACUAGAGGUAAGGGGGACAAACAUAUUCCAGAAAAUAAUUUGAUCAUCCUAUUGAACUACAUAGCCAUCAAAACCCUAAUAUCUCAGUAUGUAGUUAUUGAAUCAAUGGAAUUACUUCAAAUUUGGUAUAGAAGUUUCUUUUCCCUUUUUAAAGUCUGCUGUUAUCUAAUGGAAUAAUUUUAACAUUUUACCUUUUCAUCAGACAAAGGAGGUCACCACCAGCUUAAUUCCUCCGGUAUAGAAAAUGAUAUUGAUCCUGUUGAGCUAGAAGAAUCAAAUCACAAUGAGGCGGUAAACUUAUCCGAAGAGAAAAGGGAAAAGAAUAUAGAAAUCCCACACAAUAGGACCGAAGUAGAAGGAGAGAAGAUGGAACACCCUCAUGAUCUGGAGCCAGGAUUAGAUAGUGGAAGUGAAGUCAGAAUGGAGACAGAUUCAAUUAAAAACAACAAUUCCUGUGACUCAUCUUCAUCCGAAAACACAGAAUCGAUCUUAGAUCAAACAAGUAAAUCUCCUGGGAUACGCAAUGAUCAUGUGCAAAGGGCCCUUAAACUUGCAAUUCCUCCUAAGGGGGGAGCUAUUAACAGACUUUCCUUUGAUUCCAGCCCGUCGCCAUCUGAAAGGCGUAGGGUAGACAUUCAUUCAUUUUACAGUACAUAUAGGCGACAGUGCCAUACCCCAACGUUUUCCAUAGCUUCUGACUUGCAAGUUGAGGUCUCAGAAGUUGGUUCACCUCCAUUAACAACUGAUGGAACAACUUCACCUGCUGAUGGUGAUUCAGUUAUAUAUGAUGGGGAUGUUGAAAGGGAUAUCAAUUCCGAAAGUGAAGAACCGUGGGGAGGUUCAUUUAACCUAUCAAGAGAAGAGGCAAAUCGAGAAAGACUAAAAGAAUUAGAUGAUAUUAUUGAAGAGGAAUCUGCUGAAGUUGCUUCAAUCUCUCCAUCCGAACAUGAAACCAAGCAAAAUUUGAAUAGCAAAAUUUCACUAUCUUCAAUAGAAAUAACUGAGAAUGGUGCAUCCCCUCCAACAUAUAUAAACUCUGAAACUCAUAAAGAUUCCAGCAACUGCAGGCAUGGCAGUUUACAAACAUCUUAUGAGAGUAAAAGUACCAUGGAAUCUGGAAAGGAAGUAAAGGAAAGCCAUCCUUCAAAUUUUAUUGAAGAAGAUACUCAAACCUUAACUGAGCAUAAAGCUAGGGAUGCACGAAAGGCAGUUCGAAGCAGAGACAAAUUAAAAUCUGCUCCAGAUAUCAUAGUUGAUCAAAAUGUUUCAGAGAACAAUAUAUUGGAACAAAGAUUACGUGAAUCUAUUGCAAGGGCUCUAAAUCGAAGAUUGAUGCUUGACCAAUUUUCUGUGAGCUCAUCUUCAUCUCCAAGGUCUGUAUUACCUCAAAAUAUCUUGGCAGAUCAAAUGCCUAUACCAGAAGUUGCACGACGAAUACAACGAAAUCUAUCACAGUCUGUUAGGGAAGAUAUACUGAGGCACAAUUUAGCAUAUGAACAAGCACGUGAAAACUUUACUUCUAACAGGCCCCGAUUUUCUCAUGAAUUUGUUUGGAGUUCAAUGAAUCGCUCAUUCAGUAGUUGCGGUCUUGGAACAUUGGAGGUCAGUAUGAGAGUAUCAACAUUCCAUCUUCGUCUUUUCAUACAUUAGACAAAUCUUGAAAUCAUAUAUAAUGUUUGAGGCUUAUGAAUCCAAGUAUAUAAACAUGGUCCUUCACUUUUAAGUACCUUUUCCAUUUUCUUUUAUGCCUACAACCUCCAUUCUUGGCCCUCGCCCCGUGCGUGUGUUUGUGGUAAUCAUAAAGAACUUCCAGCAUGUAAAGAGCUAUCAAAACCAUCCAGGAAAAUAUUCCUGGUUCUACUGAGUAUCUUGAAGGAAGAUUAAAGUUUAAUAUGAAAUUAGAAUUGAUCCAAGGAAAUCAGAUUAUCCUAAAACUUAUAGAUCUCCAUAUUUGCUUUACUCAGUUGGCACUGAAUUACAACAACAGUACGGCACUUUUUCAUUUUUUGAUUUUGUAGUAAUUUUUAACAUUACACUAUUGACUUAUUGCUUCUCAUUUAUGUUUCUUAUUCAUGAAAUGUCCUUGAAGCAUAUUUUUUGUAACAGAUGAAAAUUUCUUAUCAACUAGAGAGGCUUUAAACUGAUGAAGUAACAACAGCGUUGCUUUGUUUAACUGUACAGGCUGCAAGGAAGGUCAUUGAGGCAGGCAACAUGGCCGUAAAUAUCAAUAAUUCAGCAGUCUUUAACAAGGAUGAAGGGGAGAAGUUGGCAACUAAUGAAGGUGGAUCCCAAUUCUUAAUCAGACCAGAAGAUAUCAACAGGCCUGAAAAAUCAAAUAAACAACAAGUAUAUACGGACAAAACAGAAGCAAUUGAAAGUGAUUAUACAAGCAUUGUUGAAAGUGCAAAAGAAAGAGAGGUAAUACAUUAGUCUGAAGUGAAACUCUCAUGUUUUUACUUAAUCCUCUGUUCUUAGAAACAGAACAAAAGAAAAAAGAAUACCAAUUUAAAAAUGCCAAAUAGUUGCAAACUAUUGAAUCUUUUGUCCUUUGUAAGACCAAAUAAAGAAUGAGAAUCAGAUAUUCUCCUAUUUUCUCCUUUAUUGAAGAAAUGUUUCCUUAAUACUUCUAAUCCAUAUCUAUAUCACUCAGACUCACAAGUGAGUGAUAGAUAUGGAUACACAGGUGUGUAUGCUUAAAUUCUUUUUUCAAUUUUUUCAUAUAUUUAGAGGAUUGUGCUCCUAUACUCAUUUUCGAAUAUAAGUCAGGCAUUGAAUAUGGGUACCUUAGAAAAAAUGAAGAGCUCGGGUAGCAUAGCUUCUAAUUACGUACCGCAUACAAUUAAUUUCUCACAUAUAUGUUUCCUUCUGCUGUUCCCCUAGAUGUUUAGAGAAUUUCCGUAGCUACUGCAUUUACAAUAAUCUCAAUCAUGUUAUUUAGCUAUACUCGAUGGUCAGAAAGUUUUUUUACUGAUCCAUCCUUUGUUGACAUUGAGCUGGAACCUUUCUCAGAACUCUGCAGCUGAAGUUGAUCGUAUUUGCAAGGUUAAUGAGUCAGUAGCUAAUAAUGUAAUCAACAAAGAGAUCAAGAAUGAUGUUUUUGAAGGUGAAGAAGCCCUCCGAAUAUUAGGUAAACUAGAGGCUGUCAUUGAACCAUCAAAUACCACCGGGGAAACUAAUGCAGGAUCUGUUGAAGAUACUGAAGACGAAUCCAAAAGAUUAGCCAAAGCCAAAGCAACUGCUGGCCUAUCAACUUUAACGGGAGAAACUAAUAGCUUGAAUAACAUUAAAAAUGGUGAAAAGAUACAGAAUUUGACUGAUCAAGAAGGUGUCAUGGAUGCAUCACAAUCAGGGGAGGUUCAGGAGGAAAAUCUAAAGGUCAUUGAAAGCAUCCUAAAUGUUGAUAGCAUUACAAAGGGUACAUCUAUCGACCAUGACAUGACCAUCAAAGCAUCAAAACCAACAGAAUCUGAAGUCAAGGCAUCCAAAAUGAUUAAAUAUGACACCGGAAUUGAUCCAUCAAAAUCAGGAAAGGAAAAUGCUAAAUCAGAUGAUACUGAAACUAUGGUAAGAGAAAAAGCAAUCCCGAUAUUUUGGAAAAAGAUCUCCAUACUUGUUGCUUUACUCAGUUGGCACCAAAUUACAACAACAUUACAGAAUCUUUUCAGUUUUGAUUUAGCAGUAAUUUCUAACAUUAGGUUAUUCACUUAUUGUUUUUCAUAUAUGUUUCUGAUUCAUGAGAUGUUCCUAGUACAUCUUUUUGUAAUAAAUGAAAAUUUUAAAUCAGCUAGCGGUGCUGUAAACUGGUGAAGUACUAACCGCGUUGCUUGUUAAAUUGUCAGGAACCAACAAAUUCUCCUAGGAAGGUCUUUAAGGAAGGCAGCAAUGUCGUAAAUAUCUAUGAUUUAGGAGUCAUUGGCAAAGAAGGGGAGAAGUUGACAACUAAGGAAGAUGAAUUCCAAUUCUCAAUCGGACAGGAGGGCAUCGGGGGACCUGAAAAAUUAAAUGAACUGGAAGCUGAUCUGAACAAAACAGAAGCAAUUGAAAGUGAUUAUACAACGAUUGUUGAAACUGCAAAAGAAAGAGAGGUAAUACAUUAUUAUAAAGUAAAACAUUCAUAUUUUUAAUUAAUCCUGCUUUGUGAGAAGGGAACUAUAACAAAAGAAAAAGGAAUACUAAUUUAAAAGCACCAUUUACAUACCAAAUAGCUACGAAAUAUUGUAUUUAUUGUCCUCUAAGAAAUUAAAUGAUGAAUGAAAAUAAGAUGUUCUCUUAUUUGCUCCUUCACUGAAGAACUGUUUCCUUUUGAAAGUAAGAACUGUUUCUUUAAUACUUCUAAUCUAUAUUACUCAGAACCGGAAAUGAAUAUCGGAUACAUGUAUGUGUGUUCUCCUGUAUCCAUGACUGAAUAUGUGUUAGACACAAACACCGGAUAUGGAUACUUUAGAAGAAAUCUGGAUAACAUGUCUUCUAAAUACGUGCUUGCAAAUAAAUUACUCACAUAUGUACUUCCUUCUGCUGUUUUCCUAGCUGUUUUAAAAGUUCCCAUACCUACAGCAUUUAUAAUAGUCUCAAACUUGUCAUUUAGCUAUUUUCAAUAGUCAGCUAGUUAUUUUACCUAUCCAUCCUUUACUGACAUCGAUCUGGAAUCUUUCUCAGAAUUCUGCAGCUGAAGUUGACCGUAUUUGCAAGGUGAAUGAGUCAGUAUCUGAAAAUGUAACCAACAAAGAGAUCAAGGACGAUGUUCUUGAAGGUGCGCUCCGGAUAUUAGGUAAAAUAGAGGCUGUCAUGGAACCAUUAAAUACCUCCCGGGAAACUAGUCCAGGAUCUGUUGAAGAUUCUGAACAUAAAUCCAAAAGAUUAGCCAAAGCCGAAGCCAAUGCUAGCCUAUCAACUUCAGCAGGAGAAACUAACAGCUUGAAUUGCAUAAAAAAUGGUGAACAGAUACAAAAUAUGUCUCGACAAGAAGGUAUCAUGGGCACAUCACAAUCAAUGGAUGAUAAUUGCAAGGCCAUUGAUAGCAUCCCAGAUGUUGAUAAUGCUACAAAGGGUACAUCUAUCGACCAUGAUAUUGCUGCGAAAGCAUCAAAGCAAAAAGAUUCUGAACACAAAUCCAAAAGAUUAGCUGAAGUUGAAGCCAAUGCUAGCCUAUCAACUUCAGCAGGAGAAACUAACCGCUUGAAUAACUGUUGAAGCAAUGGUCAGCAUGCAGCAACCAAGACUGUCGAGGGCACUACAUGCAGAAGCUGCAAGUUCAUCAAGCCAGCAAGCUGUGUUUUCACUUAUUUUGUAUUUUUAAGUUAAUGCAAUGUAACUUAGUUGUAUUUCAACUAUGUUAGGUUUAUAUUUGAUGUAAAACUGAUGGUGAUUGAGCUGAUUAAUCAGCUUUGUUGAUUUGUACAAGUUAAUUAGCUCAAGUUACUAAGUUUGUUAGUGGUAGUAGGUGAAGUUUAGGUUAACCUACUGUUUUGUCAAGUUGUAAGCUUGUUUAUGUAUUGGCUUUGAGCCAUAUUCAGUUUUUUGAAUGAAUUCAAAAAGUUUUCAUCCAUAUGCUCUCCAUUUUUAGUUUUGCUUCAAAAUCUAUUUGAGUUUUCUGCUUUGUUUCUGCUGCAAGUCACGAGACUUGCUCGACAAGCAUUCUGUUGAAGCUUGCUGCUGUAGCACUUAGAUCCAACAAUUGGUAUCUAGAGCCAUAUUCUUAGAGGACCUGUUGUAGUUUAGUAUCAAAACCAUGGCAUCAUCAGGUUUUUCACCAGCUUCACCACCUGUCUUCAAUGGAGAGGGCUUCAACAUUUGGGCAGUUAAGAUGAGGACUUACCUGCAGGCAUUCGACCUAUGGGAAGUUGUUAACUCAGAUGUUGAGCCAGCACCUCUUCGAGCUAAUCCAACAGUUGCUCAAAUAAGGCAACACAUUGAUGAAAGAACAAAAAGGCACAAGGCCAUGUCAUGCAUACAGAAUUGUGUGACAGAUGUGAUCUUUAUGAGGAUCAUGGCCUGUGAAACACCAAAGGAGGCUUGGGACAAGCUGAAAGAAGAAUUUCAGGGGACUGAGAGAACAAGGCAACAACAGCUGCUCAACUUGAGAAGAGAUUUCGAAAAUCUCAAAAUGAAAGAGGAAGAAACAGUUAAGCAGUACUCAGAUCGGAUUAUGGCUGUUGUAAACAGCAUAAGGCUCCUAGGAGAGCAAUUCAGUGAAGCUAUAAUAGUUGAGAAAGUCAUGUCCACUCUACCAGAGAAGUAUGAAGCUAAAAUUUCAUCCCUCAAAGACUCAAGGGACUUGACAACUAUCUCCUUAACUGAGCUAAUCAAUGCCUUGUAUGCACAAGAGCAAAGAAGAGCCAGCAGACAAGAGGAGCACCAGGAAGGGGCUUUUCAAGCCAAAGAAGCCUCGAGCAUCAAAACUCACAAAGGCAAAAAGUUCUGGAAAAACAGGCCUAAGCCUGAUACUGCUAGGAGCAGUGACCAACUCUGCAGACAUUGUAAAAGAGCUGGUCAUCCAGAAGAUAGAUGCUGGUUUAGACCAGAUGCAGUAUGCCAACACUGCAAGAAAAAAGGCCAUGUUGAAAAAGUUUGCAAGAAUAGAAGCAAACCAAGACAGAAUCAAUUUCAGCAACAAAAGGUAGAAGCUCGAGUAGCUGAAGAAAGCAGUGAUCAAGAAGAACAUGUUUUUGCUGUGUCAUGUGCAGCAAAUCAGAAGAAGGGUUCAAAGGGCUGGCUUCUAGACAGUGGGUGCACAAACCACAUGUCACCAGAUGCAACUAUCUUCAAAACCCUGGACAGAACCUGCAAAACCAAGGUAAAAAUUAGAAAUGGUCAGUUGAUUAAUGCUGAAGGAAGAGGAGAUGUGCUGAUUCAUACCUCUACAGGUGGCAAAAUCAUUUCAAAUGUACUUUUGGUACCUGAAAUCGAUAGGAACCUUCUCAGUAUAACUCAACUACUUGAGAAAGGUUACUCAGUUGUGUUCAAGGAGAAAGAAUGUCAAAUUUUUUAUCCAAGUGGAUCAAACCUCAUAACAGUCACCAUGACUGAUAAAUGUUUUGAAGUAGACUGGCCAAAUGACUUACAUUCAGCCUGCAUAGCCUCCACUGAUGACUCUAGACUCUGGCAUCAGAGGCUUGGACAUACAAACUACAAAUCCAUAGCCCGCAUGGUCAAUGAAGGUCUGGCAGAAAAUUUCAUCGAUUCAGUGAAGAAUGAUGAGCUUUGUGAGAUAUGUCAGCAAGGAAAAUUGGCAAGAUUGCCAUUUCCAACAAGCACAACAUGGAGAGCAUCAGAGAAGCUCCAGCUUGUGCAUACAGAUGUGUGUGGACCAAUGAAGACUGAGUCUCUCAAAGGAAGCAGGUACUUUAUUCUAUUUAUUGAUGACUUUACAAUAUACUGCUGGAUUUAUUUUCUAAAACAGAAAUCAGAAGUUCCAUCUGUGUUCCUGAAGUAUAAAGCUGCUGUUGAAACUGAGUCUGGUUGCAAACUUAGAGCAAUGAGGUCAGAUAAUGGAACUGAGUACACCUCAGCUCAGUUCCAAGCCUACUGUGAAGAAGCAGGUAUCAA